GACACGUCAUCAUCUUUAUCAUAAUUCAAAAAAAAAAAACACCUAAAAAAAAGAAAAAAAACAGCACCAAAAUCCUAAAUCCAAUGUCUUUUUCCAGAUUUUAAAGAGUGAAGAAAUUAAAGUUCUGUUUCAGUUUCAGAACGAGGUGAUCCAUCGGUUUAUGAAUUUUGUGGUGUUGUCAGAACAACAAGGAAAUUAAAGCCUUUAGGUUUAAGAAAAACUUGAAUCAAUGGGUUUUGUGAUUGUAAUAUCACUGCCAUUGAUUCUGAUCAUCCUUAUCUCAGCUCUUGCUUGUUACCUCUUUGGUAAGUCACGAGGCCGCCGAGAAGCCGCCAUGGUUCCUCCGUACUAUGGACCGCCACCACCAG